UUCGUCCAACGGAAGCAGAGGAAAGUGGCGGACGGGUGAGUAACGCGUGAGGAACCUGCCUUGAAGAGGGGGACAACAGUUGGAAACGACUGCUAAUACCGCAUGACGCAUAGAGGUCGCAUGAUCUUUAUGCCAAAGAUUUAUCGCUUCAAGAUGGCCUCGCGUCUGAUUAGCUGGUUGGCGGGGUAACGGCCCACCAUGGCGACGAUCAGUAGCCGGACUGAGAGGUUGACCGGCCACAUUGGAACUGAGACACGGUCCAGACUCC
rnacentral:rRNA from 1 species